rnacentral:rRNA from 1 species
AUUGAACGCUGGCGGCAUGCCUUACACAUGCAAGUCGAACGGCAGCACGGGAGCAAUCCUGGUGGCGAGUGGCGAACGGGUGAGUAAUAUAUCGGAACGUGCCCAGUCGUGGGGGAUAACGUAGCGAAAGCUACGCUAAUACCGCAUACGAUCUAUGGAUGAAAGCGGGGGAUCGCAAGACCUCGCGCGAUUGGAGCGGCCGAUAUCAGAUUAGGUAGUUGGUGAGGUAAAGGCUCACCAAGCCGACGAUCUGUAGCUGGUCUGAGAGGACGACCAGCCACACUGGGACUGAGACACGGCCCAGACUCCUACGGGAGGCAGCAGUGGGGGAAUUUUGGGACAAUGGGCGCAAGCCUGAUCCCAGCAAUGCCGCGUGCAGGAUGAAGGCCUGG